rnacentral:rRNA from 1 species
UUAAUCAUGCAAGUCGAACGGUAAUAGGGUGCUUGCACUCUAUGAGAGUGGCGAACGGGUGAGUAACACGUAGAUGAUCUAUCAUUGGAUCCGGGAUAGCCUGUGGAAACACAGGGUAAUACUGGAUACGACCUUAUCUGUGAAGGGAUAAGGGGAAAGUCGCUUCGGCGACGUCCGGGGCUGAGUCUGCGGCUCAUUAGCUAGUUGGUAGGGUAAUGGCCUACCAAGGCGACGAUGAGUAGCCGGCCUGAGAGGGUGAUCGGCCACACUGGGACUGAGACACGGCCCAGACUCCUACGGGAGGCAGCAGCUAAGAAUCUUCCGCAAUGGGGGCAACCCUGACGGAGCGACGCCGCGUGAAUGAAGAAGGCCGGAAGGUUGUAAAGUUCUUUUCCUGGGGGAGAAUAAUGAUUGGAGGAAAUGCCAGUCAGAUGACGUGAACCAGGGAAUAAGCCCCGGCUAAUUACGUGCCAGCAGCCGCGGUAACACGUAAGGGGCAAGCGUUGUUCGGAUUUAUUGGGCGUAAAGGGCGUGUAGGCGGUUAAGUGUGUCUGGUGUGAAAGACUCCGGCUCAACCGGAGGGCCGCGCUGGAAACUGCUUAACUAGAGUGAUGGAGGGGGAGCUGGAAUUCCUGGUGUAGGGGUGAAAUCUGUAGAGAUCAGGAAGAACACCGGAGGCGAAGGCGAGCUCCUGGCCAUAUACUGACGCUGAGACGCGAAAGCGUGGGGAGCGAACAGGAUUAGAUACCCUGGUAGUCCACGCUGUAAACGAUGUGCACUAGGUGUUGGUCCGUUGAGGAUCAGUGCCGUAGCUAACGCGUUAAGUGCACCGCCUGGGGAGUAUGCUCGCAAGGGUGAAACUCAAAGGAAUUGACGGGGGCCCGCACAAGCGGUGGAGCAUGUGGUUUAAUUCGAUACGCGAGAAACCUUACCAGGGCUUGACAUAAGCAUGACGGUUGUAGAGAUACAGCUUCUCUUCGGAGCAUGUUUACAGGUGCCGCAUGGCUGUCGUCAGCUCGUGCUGUGAAGUGUUGGGUUAAGUCCCGCAACGAGCGCAACCCUUGCCGUCUGUUGCCAACAGGUAAUGCUGGGGACUCAGACGGUACUGCCGGUGACAAACCGGAGGAAGGUGGGGACGACGUCAAGUCAUCAUGGCCCUUAUGUCCUGGGCUACACACGUGCUACAGUGGCCGGUACAGAGCGACGCGAAACCGCGAGGUGGAGCAAAUCGCAGAAAACCGGUCCCAGUUCGGAUUGAAGUCUGAAACCCGACUUCAUGAAGGUGGAAUCGCUAGUAAUCGCGCAUCAGCAUGGCGCGGUGAAUAUGUUCCCGGGCCUUGUACACACCGCCCGUCACACCACCCGAGUUGGGGGUACCCGAAGUCGCUCGUCUAACCUGUAAGGGAGGACGGUGCCGAAGGUAUGCCUGGUAAGGGGGGUGAAGUCGUAACAAGGUA